ncrna:unclassified sequences Glutamine-II riboswitch (downstream peptide RNA)
GUCCGUUCAUCCCUUAUGGGACGCAUGACACCCAAGCAUGGAACGGGGCUUGGU